GACAGAGGAUGCAAGCGUUAUCCGGAAUGAUUGGGCGUAAAGAGCUCGUAGGCGGUUUGUCGCGUCUGCUGUGAAAACUCGGGGCUUAACCCCGGGCCUGCAGUGGGUACGGGCAGACUAGAGUGCGGUAGGGGAGACUGGAAUUCCUGGUGUAGCGGUGAAAUGCGCAGAUAUCAGGAGGAACACCGAUGGCGAAGGCAGGUCUCUGGGCAUUAACUGACGCUGAGGAGCGAAAGCAUGGGGAGCGAACGGG
rnacentral:rRNA from 1 species